rnacentral:misc_RNA from 1 species
AAAAAAAAUUCAAAAUUUAUCAAAGUUUAGUUGAUAAACAGAGUCCAAUAAAAAACCCAACAGUUGAUAUGAAUAAAUUAGUUGAAUUUUUAUAUGAAGAUUUGCCUCAUUUAUUUGAUGAUCAAGGAAUUAAUCGUGUGGCUUAUGAUGAUUAUGUCAAAUUUAGAGACCCAAUUACUAAACAUGAUUCAAUUGAUGGCUAUUUGUUUAAUAUUUCCAUGUUGAAACAAUUGUUUAGGCCUAAUUUUCAACUUCAUUGGGCUAAACAGACAGGGCCCUAUGAAAUAACUACAAGAUGGACUAUGGUGAUGAAGUUCGUUCUUCUUCCAUGGAAACCUGAAUUAGUCUUCACUGGCACUUCUGUUAUGGGCGUCAAUCCUGAAACGAACAAGUUUAACAGCCACGUGGACUACUGGGAUUCGAUUCAGAAUAAUGAUUAUUUUUCUCUAGAAGGUUUGCUCGAGGUCAUAAAACAGUUAAGAAUUUACAAGACCCCUGACUUGGGAACGCCCAGCUAUCAAAUACUAAG